GAUGAAGAACGCAGCGAAAUGCGAUAAGUAAUGUGAAUUGCAGAAUUCAGUGAAUCAUCGAAUCUUUGAACGCACAUUGCGCCCGCCAGUAUUCUGGCGAGCAUGCCUGUUCGAGCGUCAUUACAACCCUCAGGCCCCCGGGCCUGGCGUUGGGGAUCGGCGGAAGCCCCCUGCGGGCACAACGCCGUCCCCCAAAUACAGUGGCGGUCCCGCCGCAGCUUCCAUUGCGUAGUAGCUAACACCUCGCAACUGGAGAGCGGCGCGGCCACGCCGUAAAACACCCAACUUCUGAAUGUUGACCUCGAAUCAGGUAGGAAUACCCGCUGAACUUAAGCAUAUCAAUAAGCGGAGGA
rnacentral:misc_RNA from 1 species